rnacentral:lncRNA from 1 species
CACUCUGGCGCCUGCUGCCCGGGCGGCCGGGACUGAGGCGCUUCGCACGCGCCCUCGGCGACUGGCGAGUUUGGGACGUUGGUGGAUACGUGCAUCUGUCCGGAGAGAACUGCCAGAUCCGCGGCCCCGCGAUGGUUCUGGCCCCACUGCUACUGGGGCUGCUGCUGCUACCCGCGCUCUGGAGUGGAGGUGAGUGCAGGUUGCAGGGUCUCCGGGAGCUGCUACUCAUUCCAGCGAGCCGUAGAGGGUUAUGGGGGCUCCCUAGCCGGGUCUUGGGGUGCACGUCUUAGUAGAACCGAUGGGAACCGAGAGCUUCCCAUUACCACAGAGAAAGACCUCAAGCCCGGUUGGGCGCUCUGGGAGCAGCGAAGUUUGAGCCUUUAAGAAAUGCAACUCAGGUCUGGCGUGGCAUGCACCAAGAACUUUACCCUCAACACUGUCUAGCCUUGCCGAGCUUUGGCGGGGUUUCUGCGAAUCAUAGACCGAGGAUUCCAAGGUAAUUCCACGCCGUGAACCAAUAAGUAGCUGCAAAAGUUGGAUGUCACCGUUAGCGCGUGGCGUUGCUUGGAGGCUAGGUGUCCCGCCAGGGAAAGACUAGUUCUGGCUUCUCCCCUGGGCUCUGCUGAACAUUGUGUUAGCCCUCCUUUGUAGGGACAGCCUGUCUGUGAGUGUAAGAAGCCUGCAAAAAGCCGAGGGGGACGAUACGGUCCUUUCACUAUUAUUACUGUGGAGCGGAAUCUUUUUUGUUUGGGUAGCACAAACAAGUGCUCAGACCACAAGUGCUCUCACAAGCGGUUCAAUUUGACAUGCUGGAUUGAUUAGCGCAAACAAGUAUGGCAGGUUCCUCCAACAGAUGACACUGAGGCACUUUGUAAAGAAGCUGCUGGGGGGAAAACAAAACAAGGUUUUUCCAAAAAGAAAUAGACGCAGGAGGGGUUGGAAGACUACUAUAAGCAAGCACAUUUCAGGUAUUGUUCCUUCAGGUAUUGCUCCUGCCCUAAAAGAUCUGUUUCUAUUCGGAGUGUAAUUUUGUCUCUUUGAUCUUGAAUCUGGUAGACUAAAGUUUGUCUUUUAAGGAAAGUUUGGUUUAUGGUUUAGCUACAAACCUCAUUUUUCCUCUCAAAGUUCAUUUGCUCAAAUGAGCUUUUUUUUCUUUUCUUUCCUUUUCUUUUCUUUUUCUUUUUUAAACAAUUCUUUCCUUGCACAUUAAAUUACAUAAGCAAUUUGUAGUUUGAGGCAACGUGACAAUUUGCAACAAACAUCAACAGCCAAAAAACGAGCUAAGAACUGAGACCACUCUAUUCUCCAUUACUAAACCCUCAAAAGUUCCUCAGCCUUUCUGCCAGGACUGUUCUUAAUAAUCCGCUGAAAGUCGGGUAUACUUUUGCUACUAGCCCUAGCAGGCCACGCGUCAUUUUGGAGGCUGUGACUGUCAUAAGCAUGGGAAGAGUGAUAGGAACCAAAGCUUUUGUUUGAUAUUUUUAAAUCUAUGCUUUAUUUUCUUUUUGUUUUUGUUUGUUUGUUUGUUUGUUUGUUUUCGAGACAGGGCUUCUCCGUGUAGCCCUGGCUGUCCUGGAACUCACUCUGUAGACCAGCCUGGCCUUGAACUCAGAAAUCCGCCUGCUUCUGCCUCCCAAGUGCUGGGAUUAAAGGUGAGCGAGUGCCACCACUGCCCUGCUAUGCUUUAUUUUCUAAGUUUUGAAAACGUGUGAUGAAGUUCUGUAGCUGACAGACAUAGACAACCGUAGAAAGGCUUAAAAUGCACGCUGAGAAAGAAUGAAAGUUUCUCAAUUUUUUUCUACCUGAAUUGGAGCUGCUGAGAACGUGUUUCAGGAGUCCCAGUCUUUCCUCUCUGCUUGGCCCCUGAUUUGGACCACGGUGUGGGGGGAGGAGGGAAAGGGGGCGACCGAGCUGUAUAAGGGGCACACAGUGUCCCUAGGGAGGGUCAGAUAGGGAAAGAGGAUGAAGGAGAAGUUUGAAAGUGCAUAAAAAUGAAGCCAGUCUGGUGACUUCAUCUGUGACUAAGAUGUGUGAACCCUGAGAACAAACCCGGCUUUUAAAAUGGUCGAUUUUUUUAAUUUUUGGUUUUUGGUUUUUCGAGACAGGGUUUCUCUGUGCAGCCCUGGCUGUCCUGGAACUCACUCUGUAGACCAGCCUGGCCUCGAAUUCAGAAAUUUGCCUGCCUCUGCCUCCCAAGUGCUGGGAUUAAAGGCAUGGGCCACCACCGCCCAGCUAAAAUGGUCGAUUUCUUAAAUUGACACUAAAAACAAACAUUCCAACUUAUUAUAAACAUUUUUUCCAAGAACUCUAAGUGACCCCUCUUGCUUUUUGGAAGUAAGUAGGGUUCAUUUGAAUAAAUGAGUGAAUGAAUUUUGUUCUUUAAGAUAGUAAGCACGAUAUAACCGCCUUUGAAUUAACAAAAUUGAGCUUUAAUUUUAAAAAAGUUUUAUUUUAUCUGUAUGGGUGUUUUGCUUGUAUGUGUGUCUGUGCAUCAUGUGCAUGCAUAGUUCCCAAGGAGAUGACCAGAGGGCACUGGGUCCCUGAAAUCAGAGUUACAGGGAGUUCUGAGCCGUGCUGGGAAUUGAACUUGGGUCCUCUGGAAAACAGUCAGUUCUCUUAACCACUGAGCUAUCUCUCCAGCUCAAAAUUAGGUUUGGUUUUUUUGUUUUGUUUUGUUUUUUGAAACAGGGUUUCUCUAUAUAGCUCUGACUGUCCUGGGACUCACUCAAAAUUAGGUUUUUAAGCCUUACUUUUUGAAAGAAUCUCUAGAUAGUUCUGGAAGGAGGGCUAGUGGUCACAACAGAUUGCCAGGUAGGAAAGAUGAGUUGGGACAUUGAACACUCGUGUACCUCAGCCAGUCCCUACACGACAGACAGAUGCGGGUGUUCAUCACAAACCCAGUUGUGUUGUCCCCAAGUGAAACAUCCUCCAAUGGCUUCCUGUUCCUUGCCAGAUUUCCAGGUCCUGUAAAGCCUCACAGGACCUCCCCUACCCCACCCCCCUUGACUCAUUUCUAGUCAUUUCCCCCUGGUUGCUGCUGCUCUGGCCACCUCUGUGUCACCUUCCUAGCACUAAACAGCUUUUAAAAAGUUUUUGUUGAUUUUUGUUUCUUGUCUAUGAGUGUUUUGUCUGCAUGUAUGUAUAUGCACCUAUGCAUGCCCAGUGCCGAAGGAGGCCAGAAGAAAGUGUCUGAGCCCCUGAAAUUGGAGUUUCAGGAAGUUGGAGACCACUAAAGAGAGUGCUGGCAACAGAGCUCUGGUUCUCUGCAAGAGUGGUACACACCCUUAACCACCAAGCCAUCUCCCCAGUCUCCAAAACUGAUUUAAAAAUAAAUAAAUAAAUAAAUAAAUAAAUAAAUAAAUAAAUAAAUAAAUAAAUUUCUCCGAGGACCUUGACUUUGGAUAAGAUCUAUAGUUUCAUCAUAACUUAAAACACAUGGCUCUGGGUUGGACCUCAUCUAUAUGGAGGAAAUAACCCCUAGACUAUUUUUGGUACAGCAGGACACUUUCAUAGAGUAAGUUUUUGUCAACUUGACACAACCUAAACAUAUCUAGG